CCGGGGAGCAGUUGGGGGUUAGGUGUCUUGCUCAAGGGCUCUUCAGUCAUGGACUGUCAGCCGAGGAGAUCGAACUGGCAACCUUCCGGUCACAUGGCUUUUUCCCUAAACUCCAGCCCAAGACUGCCCCCUUAGCAGUUGCAUUAAUAGAGCAGAGGAACAUUUAGAAGCUCGGUUCUGACUUUCAGGUGUGAAAACGCCUGGAAACGGUUUCAUCGUCAGGAAUGGGAAAGAAACGGCUCCACCUUCCAGAUGAUCCGGACGCUCUUCACCGACUCCUUUCACCCCUUCUCACCCUGAUGAGCCUGAUUUGCUGCCGCCGACGUUCUCACUGUGGGACUGUUCUGGGGGCAGCAGGAACGCUUAUAGACGAUCGUGAUUUGAGGAGACGCAUUACAGUCAUUAUUUUGCAAACGGUCAAUUGCACAUCAUUAAUCCAUCACAGCACUGAAACAGUGUUCUAUCUCAGAUAUUAAACUAAUAAAUAAAAAAUCAAUCAUCAGAAAAGUAGUCGAUCGGCCAGGACGCGCUCGAGCUUUGCUUGUUUAGUUUUAGUACUGGAGCUACGAGGAGCUACCCCUCCAGUUAGCCCCAAGCUAACACCACAGAGCUUAUUCCCCUCCAGUUAGCCCCCAAGCUAAAACCACAGAGCUUAUUCCCCUCCAGUUAGCCCCCAAGCUAACACCACAGAGCUUAUACCCUUCCAGUUAGCCCCAAGCUAACACCACAGAGCUUAUACCCUUCCAGUUAGCCCCCAAGCUAACACCACAGAGCUUAUACCCCUCCAGUUAGCCCCCAAGCUAACACCACAGAGCUUAUUCCCCUCCAGUUAGCCCCCAAGCUAACACCACAGAGCUUAUACCCCUCUAGUUAGCCCCCAAGCUAACACCACAGAGCUUAUUCCCCUCCAGUUAGCCCCCAAGCUAACACCACAGAGCUUAUACCCCUCCAGUUAGCCCCCAAGCUAAAACCACAGAGCUUAUUCCCCUCCAGUUAGCCCCCAAGCUAAAACCACAGAGCUUAUUCCCCUCCAGUUAGCCCCCAAGCUAACACCACAGAGCUUAUACCCUUCCAGUUAGCCCCAAGCUAACACCACAGAGCUUAUACCCUUCCAGUUAGCCCCCAAGCUAACACCACAGAGCUUAUACCCCUCCAGUUAGCCCCCAAGCUAACACCACAGAGCUUAUUCCCCUCCAGUUAGCCCCCAAGCUAACACCACAGAGCUUAUACCCCUCUAGUUAGCCCCCAAGCUAACACCACAGAGCUUAUUCCCCUCCAGUUAGCCCCCAAGCUAACACCACAGAGCUUAUACCCCUCCAGUUAGCCCCCAAGCUAACACCACAGAGCUUAUACCCCUCCAGUUAGCCCCAAGCUAACACCACAGAGCUUAUACCCCUCCAGGUAGCCCCAAGCUAACACCACAGAGCUUAUACCCCUCCAGUUAGCCCCCAAGCUAACACCACAGAGCUUAUACCACUCCAGUUAGCCCCCAAGCUAACACCACAGAGCGAGCUUAUACCCCUCCAGGUAGCCCCAAGCUAAAACCACAGAGCUUAUUCCCCUCCAGUUAGCCCCCAAGCUAACACCACAGAGCUUAUACCCCUCCAGUUAGCCCCCAAGCUAACACCACAGAGCUUAUACCCCUCCAGUUAGCCCCAAGCUAACACCACAGAGCUUAUACCCCUCCAGGUAGCCCCAAGCUAACACCACAGAGCUUAUACCCCUCCAGUUAGCCCCAAGCUAACACCACAGAGCUUAUAUCCCUCCAGUUAGCCCCCAAGCUAACACCACAGAGCUUAUACCCCGCCAGUUAGCCCCAAGCUAACACCACAGAGCUUAUACCCCUCCAGUUAGCCCCCAAGCUAACACCACAGAGCUUAUACCCCUCCAGUUAGCCCCAAGCUAACACCACAGAGCUUAUACCCCUCCAGUUAGCCCCAAGCUAACACCACAGAGCUUAUACCCCUCCAGUUAGCCCCUAAGCUAACACCACAGAGCUUAUACCCCGCCAGUUAGCCCCAAGCUAACACCACAGAGCUUAUACCCCUCCAGUUAGCCCCCAAGCUAACACCACAGAGCUUAUACCCCUCCAGGUAGCCCCAAGCUAACACCACAGAGCUUAUACCCCUCCAGUUAGCCCCAAGCUAACACCACAAAGCUUAUAUCCCUCCAGUUAGCCCCCAAGCUAACACCACAGAGCUUAUACCCCGCCAGUUAGCCCCAAGCUAACACCACAGAGCUUAUACCCCUCCAGUUAGCCCCCAAGCUAACACCACAGAGCUUAUACCCCUCCAGUUAGCCCCAAGCUAACACCACAGAGCUUAUACCCCUCCAGUUAGCCCCAAGCUAACACCACAGAGCUUAUACCCCUCCAGGUAGCCCCAAGCUAACACCACAGAGCUUAUACCCCUCCAGUUAGCCCCAAGCUAACACCACAGAGCUUAUAUCCCUCCAGUUAGCCCCCAAGCUAACACCACAGAGCUUAUACCCCGCCAGUUAGCCCCAAGCUAACACCACAGAGCUUAUACCCCUCCAGUUAGCCCCCAAGCUAACACCACAGAGCUUAUACCCCUCCAGUUAGCCCCAAGCUAACACCACAGAGCUUAUACCCCUCCAGUUAGCCCCAAGCUAACACCACAGAGCUUAUACCCCUCCAGGUAGCCCCAAGCUAACACCACAGAGCUUAUACCCCUCCAGUUAGCCCCAAGCUAACACCACAAAGCUUAUAUCCCUCCAGUUAGCCCCCAAGCUAACACCACAGAGCUUAUACCCCGCCAGUUAGCCCCAAGCUAACACCACAGAGCUUAUACCCCUCCAGUUAGCCCCCAAGCUAACACCACAGAGCUUAUACCCCUCCAGUUAGCCCCAAGCUAACACUACAGAGCUUAUACCCCUCCAGUUAGCCCCAAGCUAACACCACAGAGCUUAUACCCCUCCAGUUAGCCCCCAAGCUAACACCACAGAGCUUAUUCCCCUAUUCCCCUCCAGUUAGCCCCCAAGUUAACACCACAGAGCUUAUACCACUCCAGUUAGCCCCCAAGCUAACACCACAGAGCUUAUACCCCUCCAGUUAGCCCCAAGCUAACACCACAGAGCUUAUUGCCCUCCAGUUAGCCCCAAGCUAACACCACAGAGCUUAUACCCCUCCAGUUAGCCCCAAGCUAACACCACAGAGCUUAUACCCCUCCAGUUAGCCCCAAGCUAACACCACAGAGCUUAUACCCCCUCCAGUUAGCCCCAAGCUAACACCACAGAGCUUAUAUCCCUCUAGUUAGCCCCCAAGCUAACACCACAGAGCUUAUACCCCUCCAGUUAGCCCCAAGCUAACACCACAGAGCUUAUUGCCCUCCAGUUAGCCCUAAGCUAACACCACAGAGCUUAUUCCCCUCCAGUUAGCCCCAAGCUAACACCACAGAGCGAGCUUAUACCCCUCCAGUUAGCCCCAAGCUAACACCACAGAGCUUAUACCCCUCCAGUUAGCCCCAAGCUAAAACCACAGAGCUUAUUCCCCCUCCAGUUAGCCCCAAGCUAACACCACAGAGCUUAUACCCCUCUAGUUAGCCCCAAGCUAACACCACAGAGCUUAUACCCCCUCCAGUUAGCCCCAAGCUAACACUACAGAGCUUAUAUCCCUCUAGUUAGCCCCCAAGCUAACACCACAGAGCUUAUACCCCUCCAGUUAGCCCCAAGCUAACACCACAGAGCUUAUUGCCCUCCAGUUAGCCCUAAGCUAACACCACAGAGCUUAUACCCCUCCAGUUAGCCCCAAGCUAACACCACAGAGCGAGCUUAUACCCCUCCAGGUAGCCCCAAGCUAACACCACAGAGCUUAUACCCCUCCAGUUAGCCCCAAGCUAACACCACAGAGCUUAUUCCUCUCCAGUUAGCCCCAAGCUAACACCACAGAGCUUAUUCCCCCUCCAGUUAGCCCCAAGCUAAAACCACAGAGCUUAUACCCCUCCAGUUAGCCCCAAGCUAACACCACAGAGCGAGCUUAUACCCCUCCAGUUAGCCCCAAGCUAACACCACAGAGCUUAUACCCCUCCAGUUAGCCCCAAGCUAACACUACAGAGCUUAUAUCCCUCCAGUUAGCCCCAAGCUAACACUACAGAGCUUAUACCCCUCCAGUUAGCCCCAAGCUAACACCACAGAGCUUAUUCCCCCUCCAGUUAGCCCCCAAGCUAACACCACAGAGCUUAUACCCCUCCAGUUAGCCCCAAGCUAACACCACAGAGCUUAUACCCCUCCAGUUAGCCCCAAGCUAACACCACAGAGCUUAUACCCCUCCAGUUAGCCCCAAGCUAACACCACAGAGCUUAUUCCCCCUCCAGUUAGCCCCAAGCUAACACCACAGAGCUUAUACCCCUCCAGUCAGCUGAGCCCCGUAGCUCCAGUGCUAAAGCUCCAGGCAGGGCCCAGCGCUGGCUGAGGGCUGAGCGUGGGGUCAGGCUGGGGGAGCUGGGUUCGUGUGUUUUUAAUGGAGAGUGAUUGCUUUAAAUGAUGUUUUGAGCGUUUCUAUCAGUUCCAUGCUCAGCAUAUGAUACUGUGACUGCGUCGUCCGACACCGGAGAGGCGUUAAGACGGCAGGUUCCUCUGCGGGGGGACGCCGGCGUGGACGACCCUCCCUGUGACUCCUGUGUUGACCAGCAUGCCUUUGUGUUUCUGCUCAGCUCUGAGCGCUUCAUUCUGUACAGUUUGUUUGUCUAAAGUAUUUCUCUUUAGAGAUCCUCUUUAUUUUUAUCGUCCGAAGAUUAAAUAUUUGGUUUGGAUUGCGUUAAGAAAUAUAUUUAUGGCGCCCAAACGUC